UGUAACUAUGUUUGAAGUGCCCUAAAUCUAUCCCAUGCUUUGAUUAUUCCCCAGGGAGUCAGAUAAAGAUGAUACCCCUUUAAAAAUGCGGAGGGCAUGAAUAAAGGGACAAUGGAAACAUGCACAUACAAAAAUAAAUGAUGUUACUUGGGAGGUUUAUGAAAAUCAAGUAUAAAGGGAUUGAAAUGCUGUUUAUCAGUGAAAAAGUGAUGAUUGCAGCACAAAACUCAG